GAUGAACGCUGGCGGCGUGCCUAAUACAUGCAAGUCGAGCGAAGCGCGGACGGGUGAGUAACACGUGGAUAACCUCCUCUAAGCCUGGGAUAACUUCGGGUACCUGGAGCUAAACCAGAUACUUAAAGGUUGAUCCGCGCUGCAUUUGCUAGUUGGUGAAGUAACGGCUUACCAAGGCAACGAUGCAUAGCCGACCUGAGAGGAUGAUCGGCCACACUGGAACGGAGACACGGUCCAGAAUCCUACGGGAGGCAACAGUAGGGAAGCUUCCGCAAUGGGCGAAAACCUGACGGAGCAAGGCCGCUUGAGUGAAGUAGGUCUUCGGAUCGUAAAAAGGUGUUAUUAGGGAAGCGGUAAAUAAGCAGAAAGCCACGGCUAACUACGUGCCAGCAGCCGCGGUAAUAA
rnacentral:rRNA from 1 species